CACCAAUAUUUUUUACUAUUUUUUCUGCUAUUUUUACAACAAAGUUUUCUUCAGGGUGAACUUCCCCUUUAAGGAUGUUAAUCUCCUUUGCAGUCUGACUGAUAAUUCUUCUAUCACAGUAUGAGUGUCAAGCAGACUGCGAAGGAGAUUAGCUAUAACUCCUAUAAGAGCAACAAUCUUCAUUCUGACAAAAAAUUCGUUAUAACCAUUGCAACAAAUUCGGUUACAAACCUAGCCUACAUCAAAUUCACUACAAUGUCAAUAUACUCUGCAUUAGGGAUAUAGAGAAGUUUUGGCUUUUCUCCUUAGCAGCCUGAUUGAGAUUUCUGCCGUCACAGUAUGAUUUUCAAGCAGGCUGCAAAGGAGAUAAACCAAAACUCCUAUAUAUCCUUAAGAGCAACAAACAAUCUUCAUUCCAACAACAAAUUAUUUUUAUUAGUUACCACUACUGUAUAACAAUCGCAACAAAUUCAGUUACAACAAUUAGGGCCUACAUUAAAUUCUCUAGCAAUGUCAAAAUACUCUGCAUUUAAAUAAAGAUAUAGAGUUUUAGCAAAUCUCCUUCGCAGUCUCAUACUGAGACUACUGCUGUCACAGUAAGCAGGCUGCGAAGGAGAUUAGCUGGAACUCCUUGAUAUAUUCUUAAGAGCAACAAGCAAUCUUCGUCCUGACAACAAAUUCUUUUCAGUUACCACUACUGUAUAACAAUUGCAACAAAUUCAGUUGGAACAAUUAGGGCCUACAUUAAACUCACUAAAAAUGUCAAAAUACUUUGCAUUAACCUGGGGCAUAUGCAUUGCAGGGGGUGCGGGUUUGCGUUCACAAAAUGCGAAAGGUCUACUUUUGUGCAUCUGCGGUUAAUAAAUCGCCCUUUUUUUACGUUUGAAAAAGAAAAUUGGGUUGUCAAAUUGCCGCCCCCUUAGCUUUUUUGGUCGAUGAUUAAAAAUAAAUGUAUAUUUCAGGAAAAUUUAGCAAAAGUCCACUUUCCAAAACUUCUCCACCCCCCCAAAAAAAAAUCCUGCAUAUGCCCCUGGCAUUAACUUCCUGACAUCAAAUGCAGUUACCAGUACCAUGCAACAAUAGCAUCAAAUUCAAUAAUAUCAAAAUACCAAAUUUGUUGUUUUUGCUUGACAAAACCAUUUGAUUUUUGUCAAACAAAAAUAACAAAUUUGAUGAUUUAUUACAAACCUGACGAAUCAAAAUACUUUCCAUUAAGAGUUGAAAAUCAUUCCAAAAGAACAAUAAAAUGUUGGACAACUUUAAAAAAAAAGAAAAGAAAUUUCCCUGAUCCAAAGCCAUUAAAGAAUGAAAAUUCCUCUUUAGUGUUUCAGUCUUUUUGGAACUGUAUUUACUGUUUUUGUUCUUCCUUCCUUGAAAGAGGGUUCUCACUUUUUUCCAUGAUUUACUCAAGAAAUUGAGAGCCCACUUGCCACUUCACAUUCAGAGAGCAAAACAUUUUAGCUAUACACAAUGCCAGUCCAAAACUGCCAACAUUGAUAGUAUAAAAUCACCAAAUUGAAAAGAUGGGUGAUUUUUUCCAAUUAAUUUAUAUAUAAAAUCUUUGAACUUUAAGAUUGAAUUAACCAUCAUGAAGAAUUUCAAAAAUCUGAACUAUCCAGAAUUUUUAGUUUGAAAG